AUACGGAGGAUCCGAGCGUUUUCCGGAUUUAUUGGGUUUAAAGGGUGCGCAGGCGGCCAUUUAAGUCAGCGGUUAAAUCGUGGGGCUCAACCCCAUUCUGCCGUUGAUACUGGGUGGCUUGAUUGCGGUCGAGGUUGGCGGAAUUCGUUGUGUAGCGGUGAAAUGCAUAGAUAUGACGAAGAACACCUAUUGCGUAGGCAGCUGACCAGACCGCAAAUGACGCUCAUGCACGAAAGUGCGGGGAUCGAACAGGAUUAGAUACCCUGGUAGUCCGCACAGUAAACGAUGAAUACUUGUUUUCGGCGAUAUAAUGUCGGAGGCAAAGCGAAAGCGAUAAGUAUUCCACCUGGGGAGUACGCCGGCAACGGUGAAACUUAAAGGAAUUGACGGGG
rnacentral:rRNA from 1 species